rnacentral:rRNA from 1 species
GCGUUGUCCGGAUUUACUGGGCGUAAAGAGCGCGUAGGCGGUCUAUUAAGUGAGAAGUGAAAUCUCCAGGGCUUAACCCGGAAACUGCUUUUCAUACUGAUAGACUGGAGGGAUGCAGAGGUUUGUGGAAUUCCUGGUGUAGCGGUGAAAUGCGUUGAUAUCAGGAGGAACACCCAUGGCGAAGGCAGCAAACUGGGCAUCAUCUGACGCUGAGGCGCGAAAGCGU